UAAACUUACCCUUCUCGUCCCUUGGGUUUUUAGUUGGUUGGGUUUUCUCAUGUGAUCCCUGUUUUCCAGCAUGGAGAUGUAUUUCCCCCAGGACAAUCUAGUUGGAUUUUCUCAAAUGAUCCCUGUUUUCCUGUCCCAGCAUGGAGAUGUACUUCUCCAGAAUGAUCUACUUGGGUUUUCCCACCUGAUCCCUGUGUUCCCGUUCCAGCAUGGAGAUGUACUUCUCCAGACCGACUCCAGUUAGGUUUUCCCACCUGAUCCCUGUGUUCCCG